AUUGAACGCUGGCGGCAUGAUUUACACAUGCAAGUCGAACGGUAACAGGCCGCAAGGUGCUGACGAGUGGCGAACGGGUGAGUAAUGCAUCGGAACGUGCCCAGUCGUGGGGGAUAACUACUCGAAAGAGUAGCUAAUACCGCAUACGAUCUAUGGAUGAAAGCGGGGACCGUAAGGCCUCGCGCGAUUGGAGCGGCCGAUGUCAGAUUAGGUAGUUGGUGGGGUAAAGGCUCACCAAGCCAACGAUCUGUAGCUGGUCUGAGAGGACGACCAGCCACACUGGGACUGAGACACGGCCCAGACUCCUACGGGAGGCAGCAGUGGGGAAUUUUGGACAAUGGGCGCAAGCCUGAUCCAGCAAUGCCGCGUGCAGGAAGAAGGCCUUCGGGUUGUAAACUGCUUUUGUACGGAACGAAACGGCUCUGGUUAAUACCCGGGGCUAAUGACGGUACCGUAAGAAUAAGCACCGGCUAACUACGUG
rnacentral:rRNA from 1 species